GACGAACGCUGGCGGCGUGCUUAACACAUGCCAGUCGAACGGUGAACCUCUUCGGAGGGGAUCAGUGGCGAACGGGUGAGUAACACGUGGGCAACCUGCCCCCGGCUCUGGGAUAACUCCAAGAAAUUGGGGCUAAUACCGGAUGUUCACCGCUUCCCGCAUGGGUGGUGGUGAAAAGGGUUUCCGGCUGGGGAUGGGCCCGCGGCCUAUCAGCUUGUUGGUGGGGUAGUGGCCUACCAAGGCGACGACGGGUGGCCGGCCUGAGAGGGUGACCGGCCACACGGGGACUGACACCGGCCCCGGCCCCCGAGGGGGGGAAGGGGGGGGAAGUAUGGCGAAAGGGGGGGAGGCCGGACGCGGCGCCCCGGGGGGGGGGAGGACGCCCUUCGGUUGGUACACCUCUUCCAGCGGGGACGAAGGGAAAGUGACGUUACCUGAAGAAAAAGCCCCGGCAAACUACGUG
rnacentral:rRNA from 1 species